GCGGCAGGCUUCAUACAUGCAAGUCGAGGGGCAGCAUAAAUUACUUGUAAUUUGAUGGCGACCGGCGAACGGGUGCGUAACGCGUAUGCAACUUACCUUUUACUAGAGAAUAGCCAAGAGAAAUUUUGAUUAAUGCUCUAUACACUUAUUAAUUCUCAUGAAUCUAUAAGAAAAGCUCCGGCGGUAAAAGAUGGGCAUGCGUCCUAUUAGCUUGUAGGUGAGGUAACGGCUCACCUAAGCUCCGAUAGGUAGGGGUCCUGAGAGGGAGAUCCCCCACACUGGUACUGAGACACGGACCAGACUUCUACGGAAGGCAGCAGUAAGGAAUAUUGGACAAUGGAGGCAACUCUGAUCCAGCCAUGCCGCGUGAAGGAAGACGGCCUUAUGGGUUGUAAACUUCUUUUAUACAGGAAGAAACCUUUCCACGUGUGGAAAGCUGACGGUACUGUAAGAAUAAGGAUCGGCUAACUCCGUGCCAGCAGCCGCGGUAAUACGGAGGAUCCAAGCGUUAUCCGGAAUUAUUGGGUUUAAAGGGUCCGCAGGCUGUUUGUUAAGUCAGAGGUGAAAUCCUACCGCUCAACGGUAGAACUGCCUUUGAUACUGGCAAACUUGAGUUAUUGUGAAGUAGUUAGAAUGUGUAGUGUAGCGGUGAAAUGCAUAGAUAUUACACAGAAUACCGAUUGCGAAAGCAGAUUACUAACAAUAUACUGACGCUGAGGGACGAAAGCGUGGGUAGCGAACAGGAUUAGAUACCCUGGUAGUCCACGCCGUAAACGAUGGUCACUAGCUGUUUGAUGUACAUUGGUACAUUGAGUGGCUAAGCGAAAGUGAUAAGUGACCCACCUGGGGAGUACGCU
rnacentral:rRNA from 1 species